rnacentral:rRNA from 1 species
GGGUUGUAAACUUCUUUUAUAUUAGAAUAAAGUGCAGUAUGUAUACUGUUUUGUAUGUAUAAUAUGAAUAAGGAUCGGCUAACUCCGUGCCAGCAGCCGCGGUAAUACGGAGGAUCCGAGCGUUAUCCGGAUUUAUUGGGUUUAAAGGGAGCGUAGGUGGGCUGGUAAGUCAGUUGUGAAAGUUUGCGGCUCAACCGUAAAAUUGCAGUUGAUACUGUCAGUCUUGAGUACAGUAGAGGUGGGCGGAAUUCGUGGUGUAGCGGUGAAAUGCUUAGAUAUCACGAAGAACUCCGAUUGCGAAGGCAGCUCACUGGACUGCAACUGACACUGAUGCUCGAAAGUGUGGGUAUCAAACAGGAUUAGAUGCCCUGGUAGUCCACACAGUAAA